GGAGAGUUGGCAGAGUGGUCGAUUGCACUGGUCUUGAAAACCAGCGUACCGCAAGGUACCGAGAGUUCGAAUCUCUCACUCUCCG
rnacentral:tRNA from 1 species